GACAGAAGGUGCGAGCGUUAUUCAUAGUUAUUGGGCGUAAAGAGCUCGUAGGUGGUGUGUCGCGUCUGCCGUGAAAGCCCGGGGCUUAACUCCGGGUCUGCGGUGGAUACGGGCAGACUAGAGGCAGGUAGGGGAGAACGGAAUUCCCGGUGUAGCGGUGAAAUGCGCAGAUAUCGGGAGGAACACCGGUGGCGAAGGCGGUUCUCUGGGCCUGUACUGACGCUGAGGAGCGAAGGCGUGGGGAGCGAACAGG
rnacentral:rRNA from 1 species